UACGUAGGGGGCAAGCGUUGUCCGGAUUCAUUGGGCGUAAAGAGCUCGUAGGCGGUUCAGUAAGUCGGGUGUGAAAGCUCCGAGCUCAACUCGGAGAGGCCACCCGAUACUGCUGUGACUUGAGUCCAGUAGAGGAGCGUGGAACUCCUGGUGUAGCGGUGGAAUGCGCAGAUAUCAGGAAGAACACCUGCAGCGAAGGCGGCGCUCUGGGCUGGAACUGACGCUGAGGAGCGAAAGCGUGGGUAGCAAA
rnacentral:rRNA from 1 species